AGGCCAGCCUCACCGUGUCUCCCGUCACCGUUUCUUGCUCGGCGCGUUCGAGCAAAAGCUCACGGAGCGUCUCAACCAGCUGGUACCCCAAGAUGUCGGCCACGGUGACGUCAAUGCAAGCUAUGUAUAUUCUGC
rnacentral:lncRNA from 1 species